GAAGCAGGCCUGGCCCGUGGGUCUGGGGCUCCUGCCCCUGGAGCUGCUGCCCCGCUCCUGAGGGGCUCAGUCCUGCCUUUGGGAGUCGAUUCUCUAAGCCCACCUCUGGAGGGGCCUCGUGAAGCUCUGGCGGCUGCCGGAAGCGGAAAUGCAAAUGGGCAGUUUCUAAAAACCAAGCCUUUGGCCUGUGAUGGGCUGCUGGUCAGGAUGGGGAGACAGGCUAAGCAGGUCUCUGGCCAGAGGAGGUUAUGAGGUGUGGGGCCUUGACUGGACAGUCAGCGUCCUGCUGCCCCACCUGUGCCACCCGAGGGGGCGCAGUGACGUGACGGGGCUAAGGGAGAGAACAGGGGACCCAAUAGCAUUCUCCAGACCCAGCUGGUCUUCUCCUCCUCACUCCCCACCAACCUCCCUGCUCCCGGGCUUCCAGCAUCACUGGGCAGAGAGGCUCAGGCACUCCCUCCAGUUCAGGCCUCUCUCCUGAGCUCUGGGAUUAGAUACUGUCCCUUCUGGUCCUCCCUGCAAUGUGUCAGGAAUCAAACUCAACAUCUCUACCAAGACCUGGUCCUCCAUGGGCUCAAGACCGAGCUUUGGGGGUCCCCAGAGGCUCUUCCCUCCCCCUCAUGCCCUGCCUGCAAUCCGCUUGAAGCCCCAUGGAUUCUGUCUCUUAACCACCCUGAAUCUGCCCCCUCCUCUCCAUCACACGCCAUCUCCCGUCUCCUGGCUCCAUCACCCUCUCCUGGCUCCAUGAUCCCUUCCCUGGCUCCAUCACCCUCUCCUGGCUCCAUCCCCCCUUCCCUGGCUCCAUCACCCCUUCCCUGGCUCCAUCACCCUCUCCUGGCUCCAUCACCCCUUCCCUGGCUCCAUCAUCCCUUCCCUGGCUCCAUCACCCCUUCCCUGGCUCCAUCACCCCUUCCCUGGCUCCAUCACCCUCUCCUGGCUCCGUCACCCCUUCCCUGGCUCCAUCAUCCCUUUCCCUGGCUCCAUCACCCCUUCCCUGGCUCCAUCACCCUCUCCUGGCUCCGUCACCCCUUCCCUGGCUCCAUCAUCCCUUCCCUGGCUCCCUCACUCUCUCCCGGCAGGAAGGUGGGCUUGUUCUUCGGAGCUGUGGGGGGACUGGGCUGGAGAGGGAGGGAGGGAAGUCGAGGGUGCGGGAGGAACCCUUAAAGGCCCGCCCUGACAGCCACCCAGGUGGGCCCACCUCAGACAGCACGUGGGAGGGGACGAAGGGUUGGAAUCUACGGAGCACGCGCAGGACACGGGAGCUCAGAGAGGGUGCAAACUCGCGGAGGUCGGCCGGUGGUUGCGAGAGGCUGCCUUCAGAAGCAGGUUUCCCUGAUUCUCACUGCCUCGGUCCUAUUCGAAGUGGCUCCUUAACCUGUGCCUCAGUUUCUUCAACUUCACAAACAAGGAGGAUGAUGAUGAUGACGAUGACGAUAAUGCCACCGUCCCAAGGCUGCUAUGGGGCUCAGAUGAGAUGACGUCUGUCUAAACAAGGUCAAGAGCACAAAAGCUAGCUGGCCAGUGAGGGACCUGGGUCCUAACCCCCCGUCAGAGGGACUGGAAGUGCUCAUCUAACCCUGCUUCCUCCUGCUCCAUCAUCACGUCGCUGUCCGCAUCUUUGAUGCAAAGCAUACUAGGGGUGGAAAAUGGCAGAGUCCUGGGAACUGAGGCUCCUGCCUCCAGGCCCCUGGGGUCCAGGGACAGCUGGGAGAGAAAGACUGGCAGUGGCAGAGUAGCAGCGACCCCAACCUCAGCGCGGGGCAGGGCCGGGCACAGGCCCUCCUUGGGUCUGCGGUUGGACACACGCCCGUGGCUGAGCCUCCAGACCACCCGGCCCAGCCCAGGUCGGGACGUUCUGUACCUUCCUCUGUGAGGCCUGGGGGCCUGUCUGCAGUUUUUAUAAACCACAGAAUGAGAGAGGGAACUGCUUUAUCCUUCAUUCCGAGAAAGGAUCUGGUCUUUGUAAGAAUCACCUUUUCACGACUGUCUAAACUUCUGCUGGUGGAAACCCCGUAAUUGAAUAUGCUGCAACGAGGAAAAUGCUGUGAUAGGACAAUGAGGGCUGGAGCAGACGGCAAAAUGGAACACUCGUCUGGCUCCACCUAUUUCAGUCAACCCGCCGGUGGAGGGGAAUUGGCCAACAGAAAGCUGGUUCGUGGGGCGGUUCCUUCCCGGUGUUUUGUAAUGUUGUUGCUGCACGGUGUUUUCAUUUUUAAAUUGUGUUUCAGAACUUCCUGAAGCCAUAACAGCCUUCCCGCCUCCUUUGCAAACUCUGAAAGCAACAUUUUUUUUUUUUUUUGGAGGAAGAUUAGCCCUGAGCUAACUACCGCCAAUCCUCCUCUUUUUUUGCUAAGGAAGACUGGCCCUGAGCUAACAUCCAUGCCCAUCUUCCUCCACUUUAUAUGUGGGAUGCCUACCACAGCAUGGCGUGCCAAGUGGUGCCAUGUCCACACCCGGGAUCUGAACCUGCUAACCCUGGGCUGCCGAAGCGGAACGUGUGAACUUAACCGCUGCACCACCGGGUCGGCCCCCCAAAACUAACUUUUUGAGAAGAAGAGGCAAAAAGCGGGCAGAGCUGGGUUUUGGGGUGAAUAAAUACACAAAUUGGCGAGAACUCCUCCGCCUCCCUUUCGCCCCAGCAGCUCAGGAAAAACAAAUCUGGGUGUGGACGCGGAUUGGGACAUCGUGAUGAUCCAGGCAGCAGAAUUUCUCCAGACACCACCCAACCGGAGAGCAAGAUGGG
rnacentral:lncRNA from 1 species